GCAGAGAUGUCCGAGUGGUUAAGGAGAUUGACUAGAAUUCAAAUGGGCUCUGCCCGCGCAGGUUCGAAUCCUGCUCGCUGCG
rnacentral:tRNA from 1 species